CGCAAAUCCUCCGGGAAGGCGGCGGGGCGCAGCGGCGCAGGGAGCAUGCUCGGCGAUAAUCCCCCCGCCUUAGCUACAGACAGAGGUGUGUGCUGAGGCUCCCUCUCAAUUCCUCUGGAAGCAGCAGAAAGUGGGGAUAAAAUACAGCAGUGGUCUGAGAACUGGUUUCAAAGCAACUACCAAACAUGACAUACAGGAGUUCAUCAUCUGAGAGGAAUCUUCUAACCAGAGAACUCCCCAGAGUGGUUUGAACUCGUGUAGCAUUGCACAGACAUGGGAUAAGCCUCACAAAGCCCCUGGGAGGCAGCAAGAAACAGCAGCUUUUUCUACAUGCUGGAAGAAGACAAGGGCUCUAGGGAAAAGUCCCACAGCACAGAGGCUUUUUUGGACAUCUUUCUGCAUUCCUCCAGGGCAGUCCCCCUCAAAUCAUAACUGCCCUGGUUAUAAGCAGAAAUGUGCAUACAUUGCUCAGACUAAAGACUGGAAAUCACAGCUGGGUUUCAGGCACCAUACCUCCCUGCACUGCACAUUCCCAGACUGUAGCCUCGGGGUCUGGGCACAGGGGAGCAAGUGAGAUCACUCAUGCAGUGAUAGCCAAGGGAAAACCUUCAACAAACCUGUUGUGAGCAGAUU